AUGUCAAACCCCUGGCCAUGGCAAUUUUAUUGGAGAGGGAAGAUACUAAUAGAAAUCUCAGACAUGGUGGCGGAUUAUGUUGAAGUUACCAGAUGCACUCUUAGCUGAUUGAAUGUCGCUGCCAUUGUGGUAGAAAAUUUAAUAUUUUUUAUCUGUCAAUGUAUAUCUUUGUCUGAGUUAUGAUCUCUGUUUUAGUGACAGUUGAAUGUGGCAUGUAGAGCUUGUAGUGGCUGUACUUAUGAGCAUGGUUGAACUGAAUUCCAUGUGUGGUUUUCUUUCU